AGCAGCCGCGGUAAUUCCAGCUCCAAUAGCGUAUAUUAAAGUUGUUGCAGUUAAAAAGCUCGUAGUUGAAUUUCGGGAUCAAAUUGUUGGUCGUGCUUCGGUACGCACUGGCAUUAUUGGUUCCUACCUUCUGAAGAACCGCGAUGUCAUUAAUUUGGUGUCGUGGGGAAUCAGGACUGUUACUUUGAAAAAAUUAGAGUGUUUAAAGCAGGCGUACGCUUGAAUACAUUAGCAUGGAAUAAUGAAAUAGGACGUUUGAUUCUAUUUUGUUGGUUUCUAGGAUCGACGUAAUGAUUAAUAGGGAUAGUUGGGGGCAUUAGUAUUCAAUUGUCAGAGGUGAAAUUCUUGGAUUUAUUGAAGACUAACUACUGCGAAAGCAUUUGCCAAGGAUGUUUUCAUUAAUCAAGAACGAAAGUUAGGGGAUCGAAGACGAUCAGAUACCGUCGUAGUCUUAACCAUAAACUAUGCCGACUAGGGAUCGGAUGAUGUUAAUUUUAUAAUGACUC
rnacentral:rRNA from 1 species